rnacentral:rRNA from 1 species
CCUACGGGUGGCAGCAGUGAGGAAUAUUGGUCAAUGGGCGGAAGCCUGAACCAGCGAAGUAGCGUGCGGGAUGAAGGCUCUACGGGUCGUAAACCGCUUUUGCACGGGGAUAACACCCUCCACUUGUUUAGGUCUGCAGGUCCCGUGCCAUUAAGGGCCGGCAAAUUCCGUGCCAGCAGCCGCGGUAAUACGGAAGGCCCGAGCGUUAUCCGGAUUCAUUGGGCUUAACGGGAGCGUAGGCGGGGGUUCAAGUUAGCUGUAAAAUCUCGGGGCUAAACCGGGCCCCGCGGUUGAAACUGGACACCUAGAGUUCACAAGAGGCAGGCGGAAUUCGUGGUGUAGCGGUGAAAUGCAUAGAUAUCACGAGGAACCCCGAUGGCGAAGGCAGCCUGCCGGGGUGCGACUGACGCUGAGGCUCGAAGGUGCGGGUAUCAAACAGGAUUAGAUACCCCAGUAGUC